rnacentral:rRNA from 1 species
GAUGAACGCUAGCGGGAGGCUUAACACAUGCAAGUCGAGGGGUAAAUGGCAGCAAUGCUAUGAGACCGGCGGACGGGUGCGUAACGCGUGGGAACGUACCUUUUGGUUCGGAACAACACAGGGAAACUUGUGCUAAUACCGGAUAAGCCCUUACGGGGAAGAUUUAUCGCCGAAAGAUCGGCCCGCGUCUGAUUAGCUAGUUGGUGAGGUAACGGCUCACCAAGGCGACGAUCAGUAGCUGGUCUGAGAGGAUGAUCAGCCACAUUGGGACUGAGACACGGCCCAAACUCCGUACGGGA